UUUAGUGAAAUGUUUAGGGAAAAUUACAUCUUUAGUCGCUGAGUUAUAACCAAGUUCCGAUUCAGUCCUAAGUUAUGGCCAUAUCCGAGUUUAAUCAUUCGGUUAUGAGCAAAGUGGCGAGUUUAGUACCUACCGUUA